rnacentral:lncRNA from 1 species
GUUCAGAGUUUCCAGGGAGGAACUGAGACAUGCAGGAGGGGCCGGCACCAUCUGAGGCUGCAGAGGAGGUCUCUGGUCAUUUUUCCCGUGGUUGCAGCACAAGCAAUUAUUUCACCCACAAGUGGAGGCUGGUUUACUUCUUUUCAGCUCUUAUGACAGCGUGUGUAGCUGUGGAAAUGCAGGAUGGCUCAGCAUGCCGGGAGAAUGGAGGACACCCCCACCGCGCUCGGCCUCGCUUGUCGGCCAGUUGCAUUUCUCAGGGUAGGUCUGCAUUUGGGUCGUCCCCUUGUCCUUGCGGGUGCUCAUUAGGCAUCCGCUGUUUGCUGCCGGUGCAUGCUAAUCCCUCUGCUGUGCCUGUCCAGCUGUAUGCCCCUGCACGGAGCUGCGAUGCCACCGAGGGGGCCUUGUCGUCUUUGUUCUUGGUUCUUCGCUGCCGGAUUUGUGAGAGAACUUCAGUGUUGAGGAAACUAAGCCUUGGUCACUCGUCGAAAACACCUUAUUCUCUGUUUACCAUUUGGCUUGAGACGUCGUCUGCUGUGUGAAAAGACUGCAUUGUUGUGAUAGGCUGCAGGCCCUAACCAGCCUCCUCGCCCUGCCCUCCGUCCGCGCCCUCGGCUGGCCUGCACUCGGACGCCAGCCCCCGAUGGCUGAGAGCCUCAGCCGGGACACCGAGGAGCUGCAGCCCAGAGGGUCUCCUGCCCUCCUGGCCAGGUGCCCGCUUCCCUGCUUCAGGCCAGCAUGACCGCUUUGUCCCCCUCAACCCCUGCCCAUCCCAUGUUCCAGGCCCUCAAGUGACCAGAAAAUCUCCGUUAAAAGGACAGCGAGGGUGUCUCAGAAAUGCCCCAGG